CAAAUCCCUCAGUGAUCCAACUCCUUUCAAUUUACUACUCCUUUAUACUUAGGUACUAGAAUACUGCAUUUGUUUAAGGAUCCAAGAUGGCUGCUCAAGCUGUAGCUACUGAAUGCACAUUUCAGGCAAUAGAAGCAAAAAGGAAAGGCAGGAGACACAUUUAACUAGUGUGAGUCCUUCAAAGAUUUCUAUCACUUAUCACUUGUUUCUAGAUAAAGCUGCAAACAAGAAUGGGUACACUUUUAUGUAAAACUUGAUGCUCAAGUAAAUAGUUCUAUUUAAAUAUGGAAGGAGAGAACAAAUACUGGAGGAAAGCCAUUAUUUUAGGUAUAGACAGUUCCCUAAGGACCAUGUACAAACAUUCCCCUGGUCUCAUCUCUUCAAUAAUUUGUACUAUGGCCUAAUCACUGAUGUAGAAGGUUUGUGUGUAUGUAUGUGUACACCAGUAGCAGGGACAAUUUAACAAUCCUGUCAGUUACUUUUAAAUACAUGAUUCUCUUCGGUUACUCUACAUUUUUCUACCUGUUAAGACAUUUAAAUGCAUUUUUAAAUGCUUCCCCAUUUAGAAACUGUUUACAUUUCCUUAUUAUUCUGAUAUUAUUCCUACUUUUGCAUUUCUUAAAAUAUGCUAUGUUAGGGGCUGGGAAUGUGGCUUAGUGGUAGAAUGCUUGCCUAACAUGCAUGCAGCCCUGGGUUUGUUUCCCAAGUACCACAUAAACAGAAAACCUUGGAAGUAGCAUUGUGGCUCAAGUGGCAGAGUGCUAGCCUUGAACAAAAGGUGCUCAAGAGACAGUGCCCAGGCAGGAGUUCAGUCCCCAGGACUGGCCAAAAAAAAGCUACACUGGUGAGACUGAAUUUUUAAUAUCAGUGUCAACUUUACUAUUAACUAUAAACUUAGAAAACAUGUACUAACCCUUCAGAAGGUACUAUAUUUGUAGCUUGUCCCAAUCUUUUUGGGUUUUAUUUAUUUACUUGUGUACAGCACAUCUAACUUUCUUGACCAAUUAAUAGUUUUCUGGUCAACUAAUAGUUCAUAAAGUCUGGACCAGAUGAGAGGGUGUUAAAGCCUAGAAGGUACAUUUUAA